UACGAAGGGGGCUAGCGUUGCUCGGAAUCACUGGGCGUAAAGGGUGCGUAGGCGGGGCUUUAAGUCAGGGGUGAAAUCCUGGAGCUCAACUCCAGAACUGCCUUUGAUACUGAAGAUCUUGAGUUCGGGAGAGGUGAGUGGAACUGCGAGUGUAGAGGUGAAAUUUGUAGAUAUUCGCAAGAACACCAGUGGCGAAGGCGGCUCACUGGCCCGAUACUGACGCUGAGGCACGAAAGCGUGGGGAGCAAACAGG
rnacentral:rRNA from 1 species